rnacentral:rRNA from 1 species
GACGAACGCUGGCGGCGUGCUUAACACAUGCAAGUCGAGCGGUAAGGCCCUUUCGGGGUACACGAGCGGCGAACGGGUGAGUAACACGUGGGUGACCUGCCCUCAGCUCUGGGAUAAGCCUGGGAAACUGGGUCUAAUACUGGAUAUGACUCCACGGUGCAUGUCGUGGGGUGGAAAGCCUUGUGCGGCUGAGGAUGGGCCCGCGGCCUAUCAGCUUGUUGGUGGGGNGAUGGCCUACCAAGGCGACGACGGGUAGCCGGCCUGAGAGGGCGACCGGCCACACUGGGACUGAGACACGGCCCAGACUCCUACGGGAGGCAGCAGUGGGGAAUCUUGCGCAAUGGGCGAAAGCCUGACGCAGCGACGCCGCGUGAGGGAUGACGGCCUGGUGUAACUC